rnacentral:rRNA from 1 species
GAUGAACGCUGGCGGCGUGCUUAACACAUGCAAGUCGAACGGUAAGGCUCCUUCUUGCAGGGGUUCUCGAGUGGCGAACGGGUGAGUAACACGUGGGUUAUCUUCCCUGCACUUCUGGAUAAGCCUGGGUAACUGUGUUUAAUACUGGAUAGGACGAUGGCUUGUAUGCCAUUGUGGAAAGUUUUUCGGUGUGGGAUGAGCUCGCGGCCUAUCAGCUUGUUGGUGGGGUAAUGGCCUACCAAGGCGCCGACGGGUAGCCGGCCUGAGAGGGUGUACGGCCACAUUGGGACUGAGAUACGGCCCAGACUCCUACGGGAGGCAGCAGUGGGGAAUAUUGCACAAUGGGCGCAAGCCUGAUGCAGCGACGCCGCGUGGGGGAUGACGGCCUUCGGGUUGUAAACCCCUUUCGGCAGGGAAGAAGCGAAAGUGACGGUACCUGGAGAAGAAGCACCGGCUAACUACGUG